rnacentral:tmRNA from 1 species
GGGGCUGAUUCUGGAUUCGACGGGAUUCGCGAAACCCAAGGUGCAUGCCGAGGGGCGGUUUGCCUCGUAAAAAGCCGCAAAAAAAUAGUCGCAAAUAACGACGAAUACGCAGUAGCAGCUUAAUAACCUGCUUGCAGCCCUCUCUCCCUAGCCUCCGCUCUUAGGACGGGGAUCAAGAGAGGUCAAACCCAAAAGAGAUCGCGUGGAUGCCCUGCCUGGGGUUGAAGCGUUAAAACUAAUCAGGCUAGUCUGUCAGUGGCGUGUCUGUCCGCAGCUGCCAGGCGAAUGUAAAGACCGACUAAGCAUGUAGUACCGACGGUGUAGUAAUUUCGGACGCGGGUUCAACUCCCGCCAGCUCCACCA